GAUUACCCGCUGAACUUAAGCAUAUCAAUAAGCGGAGGAAAAGAAAAUAACAAUGAUUUCCCUAGUAACGGCGAGUGAAGAGGAAAGAGCUCAAAG
rnacentral:rRNA from 1 species